UACGUAGGGGGCAAGCGUUGUCCGGAAUUAUUGGGCGUAAAGGGCUCGUAGGCGGUCCAUCGCGUCGGGGGUGAAAAGCUGGGGCUUAACCCCAGUCCUGCUUCCGAUACGGGUGGACUAGAGGUAGGUAGGGGAGAACGGAAUUCCUGGUGUAGCGGUGAAAUGCGCAGAUAUCAGGAGGAACACCGGUGGCGAAGGCGGUUCUCUGGGCCUUACCUGACGCUGAGGAGCGAAAGCAUGGGGAGCAAACAGG
rnacentral:rRNA from 1 species